rnacentral:rRNA from 1 species
UAGUGGCGAACGGGUGAGUAACACGUGAGUAACCUGCCCUUGACUCUAGGAUAAGCCCGGGAAACUGGGUCUAAUACUGGAUAGGAACGUCUACCGCAUGGUGGAUGUUGGAAAGAAUUUCGGUCAUGGAUGGACUCGCGGCCUAUCAGCUUGUUGGUGAGGUAAUGGCUCACCAAGGCGACGACGGGUAGCCGGCCUGAGAGGGUGACCGGCCACACUGGGACUGAGACACGGCCCAGACUCCUACGGGAGGCAGCAGUGGGGAAUAUUGCACAAUGGGCGAAAGCCUGAUGCAGCGACGCCGCGUGAGGGAUGACGGCCUUCGGGUUGUAAACCUCUUUCAGUAGGGAAGAAGCGAAAGUGACGGUACCUGCAGAAGAAGCACCGGCUAACUACGUGCCAGCAGCCGCGGUAAUACGUAGGGUGCGAGCGUUAUCCGGAAUUAUUGGGCGUAAAGAGCUCGUAGGCGGUUUGUCGCGUCUGUCGUGAAAGUCCGGGGCUUAACCCCGGAUCUGCGGUGGGUACGGGCAGACUAGAGUGCAGUAGGGGAGACUGGAAUUCCUGGUGUAGCGGUGGAAUGCGCAGAUAUCAGGAGGAACACCGAUGGCGAAGGCAGGUCUCUGGGCUGUAACUGACGCUG